rnacentral:ncRNA from 1 species
AUUCAGACGAUGAUAGGGGAAGUAGGGGAAAGACCAGGCAGAGAGAGGCGGUGGUCGGUGAAAACCGCACCGGUCUUUUUUCCGAAAAUCCACCCUGGAGUAGAUCAGGGGGCGUCGGUAGGCGUGAACCUGAUCCGGAGAGUCCGUUAUCCUUUAGAAGCAGGGCCGUAUCGGGCGGCCAAUUUGGGUGGCAACGCGGGUGUACUCUCGUCCCAUGG